AACGAACGCUGGCGGCAGGCUUAACACAUGCAAGUCGAGCGCCCCGCAAGGGGAGCGGCAGACGGGUGAGUAACGCGUGGGAAUCUACCCAUCUCUACGGAAUAGCUCCGGGAAACUGGAAUUAAUACCGCAUACGCCCUACGGGGGAAAGAUUUAUCGGGGAAGGAUUGGCCCGCGUUGGAUUAGCUAGUUGGUGGGGUAAAGGCCUACCAAGGCGACGAUCCAUAGCUGGUCUGAGAGGAUGAUCAGCCACAUUGGGACUGAGACACGGCCCAAACUCCUACGGGAGGCAGCAGUGGGGAAUAUUGGACAAUGGGCGCAAGCCUGAUCCAGCCAUGCCGCGUGAGUGAUGAAGGCCUUAGGGUUGUAAAGCUCUUUCACCGGAGAAGAUAAUGACGGUAUCCGGAGAAGAAGCCCCGGCUAACUUCGUGCCAGCCGCCGCGGUAAUAC
rnacentral:rRNA from 1 species